rnacentral:rRNA from 1 species
UACGGAGGGAGCUAGCGUUAUUCGGAAUUACUGGGCGUAAAGCGCACGUAGGCGGCUUUGUAAGUUAGAGGUGAAAGCCUGGAGCUCAACUCCAGAAUUGCCUUUAAGACUGCAUCGCUUGAAUCCAGGAGAGGUGAGUGGAAUUCCGAAGUUGUAGAGGUGAAAUUCGUAGAUAUUCGGAAGAACACCAGUGGCGUAAGGCGGCUCACUGGACUGGUAUUGACGCGUG